CAUCAACAUUUAUUCAGCAGAAGACGAAAAAGAAUCAGCUGUGCUCUUCCUUUGCAUUUUUAUCCACUGCAGAAGAAUUUCUCUGUACAAAAAUUUUUCCGUGCAUUUGAAUUCAGAAAGAAGUUUUGAUGAAGCCAGUGGCUCAUCUACUCCAGCAACUGGUAUUCAGAAGCAUAUAGUGGAGCUGCACAACGUUUUGCAACGGUCAAGGAAGGAAGGAAGAAAUUUAAUCCUCAACUGCAAGAUUCAAUGUUUGGUAGGCAAGCUUGAGAAAGAAGAUAUUUGCCAAUUAAGUCUUAAGCUCCAUGUAUACUAAUACAUGUCCUGUGAAACACAAGAAGCUUUCCAAUGAAGAUGGAAUUGUUCAGUAUGACUUUCCAGGGAUGUUCCAUGCACAUCAUUAGAUUUUUAACUAUAUCUGUGCCUCAUAAAGUUCUGGCAACAGGCAUUCCUAAUAGCAACAGGCAAGUGCAGUAAUUUGAGUAAACUUUGGAGGCUGAGUUGGACUGGGUCCAAGGAUGGAUGGAGACAAAAAACAAAACAUCCUUCUAAUGGAAAAGUGUUAUUUUGCCCAGUCAAUACUGUGAUGAUUUUACUCCUACCAAUUCCAUUCAAUGUUUUAACUUUAAUUAUUAUAAUGUUAUUAUUGUUUGCUUCCUACAGUACUUUUCUUAUUGCUCUGAGCUGAGGAUACAGGGGAACCACCACUUACGCGAGAGUUCUGUUCCUGGACGCUGCUCACAUCCCCAGAAUGUGUGCAAGUGGGGAUUCCCCAUUGUGCCUCACCCUCUUUUGGUCCUGAAAAUGGUGCAUUUUCUGCGCUGUUACAUGAGUGACAA